UCUAAGACGGCUGUAGUAAAUAGCUUACACGACUGAUCAGGCUCAUCAACCUAUGGAACCUCACGCUAUGUUGCUAUGAUUCUUUUAUCACGAAAGCAUGUCGGGCGAAGGAAUAAAACGUGUACAACACUAGCAAGAAGAGACUUGCCAAAGAAUUCGAUGCCUCACAGGAUCCUGCAAAAGCGGAGUCCAAAAAAGCACGAGUCGGGUCAGCGGUUUCAGAUUCAGAUAGUUCAGUUCAAUCAUCAUCUGACACCUUUCGGUGCUAUUCCUUUUGAAACUGGCGUUUCUUUUGUAAAAUAAUUCGAUGCCCCUGCGAAAAACCGAGUCAAGAAAGAGGUAAGGGCCGGGUCAGAGGCGGAACAGACAUUCAAAG
rnacentral:lncRNA from 1 species